UCAAGAAGUAGUUUAUUAAAAAUAUUAAUUUUGGAGAUUAAUGAAGAGGUUUAACUCUUUCUUGAA
rnacentral:tRNA from 1 species